AUUGAACGCUGGCGGCAGGCCUAACACAUGCAAGUCGAACGGGUGGCGGACGGGUGAAUAGUUGCUGGGAAACUGCCUGAUGGAGGGGGAUGACUACUGGAAACGGUAGCAAAUACCGCAUACCAUCGGAUGUGCCCAGAUGGGAUUAGCUAGUAGGUGGGGUAACGGCUCACCUAGGCGACGCUCCCUAGCUGGUCUGAGAGGAUGACCGGACACACUGGAACUGAGACACGGUCCAGACUCCUACGGGAGGCAGCAGUGGGGAAGAUUGGACAAGGGGCGAAAGCCUGAUCGAGCCAUGCCGCGUGGAUGAAGAAGGCUUUCGGGUUGUAAAGUUCUGUCAUCGGGGAAGCGUUAUCCGCCGAAGAAGCCCCGGCUAACUCCGUGCCAGCAGCCGCGGUAAUAC
rnacentral:rRNA from 1 species